AGAUUGAACGCUGGCGGCAUGCCUAACACAUGCAAGUCGAACGGGAGUAGCAAUACUCUAGUGGCGGACGGGUGAGGAAUACGUAGGAAUUUGCCCUUAAGUGGGGGAUAACCCGAGGAAACCCGGAUUAAUACCGCAUGACCUCGAAAGAGCAAAGUGGGGGAUCGCAAGACCUCACGCUUUUGGAGAAGCCUACGUCGGAUUAGC
rnacentral:rRNA from 1 species